GACGAACGCUGGCGGCGUGCCUAAUACAUGCAAGUCGAACGAACCGCGACUAAGUGCUUGCACUAAGUCAAGGUGAGUGGCGAACGGGUGAGUAACACGUGGGUAACCUACCUCAUAGUGGGGGAUAACAGUCGGAAACGACUGCUAAUACCGCAUAGGACAUAGGAUCACAUGAUCCAGUGAGGAAAGGUGGCGCAAGCUAUCGCUAAGAGAUGGACCCGCGGUGCAUUAGCUAGUUGGUAGGGUAAAGGCCUACCAAGGCGAUGAUGCAUAGCCGACCUGAGAGGGUGAUCGGCCACAUUGGGACUGAGACACGGCCCAAACUCCUACGGGAGGCAGCAGUAGGGAAUCUUCCGCAAUGGACGCAAGUCUGACGGAGCAACGCCGCGUGAGUGAAGAAGGUCUUCGGAUCGUAAAGCUCUGUUGUUAGAGAAGAACAGCGCAUAGAGUAACUGCUAUGCGUGUGACGGUAUCUAACCAGAAAGCCACGGCUAACUACGU
rnacentral:rRNA from 1 species